rnacentral:rRNA from 1 species
GAUGAACGCUAGCGGCAGGCUUAAUACAUGCAAGUCGAACGGUAAGUUUGGUAGCAAUAUCAAACCAAGAGUGACGUACGGGUGCGUAACACGUAUGCAACCUACCUUGUACAGGAGUAUAGCUCGGGGAAACUCGAAUUAACCCUCCAUGAGAUCACAGUGUGGCAUCACACAGUGAUUAAAACUCAGGUGGUACAAGAUGGGCAUGCGUCUGUANAGUUAGUGG